rnacentral:misc_RNA from 1 species
GAGAGAGAUAAACCAACAUUCUCUACAUUAUGCAGAAUCAGGUUAGUUUUCUGCUAUUGAAACAUAUAACAGCUAUCGAUGGAAUAAGAAACUAUCAUCUUCUCGUAGAGCAGAACAAUGGCAAUGAAAGAAUGUGCAAAUACUUCAUACAAGUAUUAAGUUGACUAAUCUAAUAGCAAUACAUAAUAUAACAGCAUAAGAGAGUGAUCAUCAAAGAACAAAAAAAAAAAUUCAUCAACAAGAAUAUAAACAUUACUGAUAUUUAAGCGCAUUAAAUUGACCAUUCAAAAUUAUAUAUAUUAACAUGUAUGACUUCCUGCGUAUAGGAUUCUUUUAUUUAAGAUAUUUCAAAUGACUUGUUCCAAACAUUUCAUUUUAUCAAGUGAACAUAAAUUACGCAUUUGAAGUAGCAAAUCUAUGAGAGGUGUUGUAUAUGAACAUAAAUACUAGUAUGUAAUUACCUGGCCUUAUAAUACUGCUAGGUA